UUAUCGAGGAGAACGCGGCUAUCUGUAUUCCAAACACAAGCUCGGAUUGUUACAUCCAACCACUGGUCCGCCAUUUUUUCGUGGAUUCGAGCCAAGAUUCGAUUCGAGAAGGAAAUUUGGUGUUCUGGAUAUUCGAUUUCCCAGUUAUGCCUAGGAUGUGGAAAAUUAUCGACCGAAUUUGCCAUAGAAUGUUUAUAGAGCAUAAUGGGUUAUGAAAGGAUAUUACUUUUCUCAAUUCUUCUAUCUAGCAUUUCCAAAGAUUUGAGAAAUUUGUAAUUUCAUCGUCCUAUUUUUAACUUUACUUAGAAAGAAUAUUCGAAUGAAAUAAAUCAAUUGAUGUUAUACCCAUCUAAUUCAAAUUCAGAAAUUAAUCGAGAGAAUUUUGAUGUUUAUGGAGGAGAGAUCGUCGAUGACGAAAUAUUUAUUUUACUGCGAUGGUGAAACACGUGAUUAUCAAAUAUUAAGAUUAAUGAUACUAUCGGAUAUAAUCAGCAAUAUCUAAAUGCCCAUCUAGUAAACGUUAUAACUAAUUAAUAUUCAGCCAUAAAUAUUUGAUUAAUGUGGUUGACAAUUACGAAGAAAGAAGAGAAAUAAGUGUUAUGUAAAUUUGUUUUAAUUAGCAGAACAUUUCAGGGAGAUUAAAGAACACUAUGUAAGAAUGAAGGAUAAAGUAGAAAAUUGAACGAAGAGAAGGAUUGAACAUCGUGCCGUGUAUUUUCCAUUUAUACGUUUGCUUGAUAAAGUUGUAUUUAAACUGCACGACAGACAAUAUGAUGAAAAUACGAUUUGAGAUUGUUCUAUGCAUGUUCGAAAUGGAAUAAAUAAAAACUAGAAUUUAUUUAAAGAAUUCCUUUGCAUAAAGAUAUCUAUCAGUCAACUUUGUGAAAUAACAAUUUAAUCGUAUUUAUCGCUAAUUUUUAUAUUUUUUGCUCCAUAUUCUUAUUUUAUUCGUUAUGUUUCAUGUUUGUUUCAGAUUAUUUAUUCGAUUCGAUUAAGAAUAUUUGUCAUAUUAAAUUAUCUUUACAAAAUAUUUAUUUUAGAGAUAAUAUUUGUUAUAUUAAAAAAAAAAAAUUGAAUUGACAACCAGCAUCUGUUUUUGUUCACAAGAUAAUUGCAGCUCUAAUCAUGUUUUAUUUUUAUUUAAUAUUUUUUUAUUUAUAUGUUUGAAAAUAUGGAUUCAUAAAUAAAUUAUAAUAUGCAAAAUUCUAAUAUAUAAAACGUUUCCUUUUUUAUUAAUUCCAACGAAUCUUCGAACAUAUUUCCUUAAAAAAUUAUACAUCUAUAAUCAAUAAUUACAAUUUCAAAUAAAGAAAAAAAAAGAUACAUUAAUCUAGAUUAAUCUUGAAUCUCUUAUCAAGAAUGAUAAGAAGAAAAGUAUUAAGAAUGAUGUGCAAAGUAAAAUAAGAUGUUUAUCAAUGUAUAUGGAAGAUCAAUAUGAUAAAUAAACCACAAAUAGUACAAUUAGAAGUUAAUUGUUAUUUUCCAGUCUGUGUAAUUUAUUUUUCAUUUACGAACUGAUGUAAUUUCCUCUCAAUUUUUUCUCAAAGUCAUAACGAUAAUAAGCCAUCGUUUCUUUUCCGGAAAGAACAAUUUAUCUUUCUUAAAUAAAUAAAUUGUACAAGAUCAAGCAAAAAAUUCAAACGGAAUAAUAAGUUUAUUUCUCUCGAGGAUAAAGAGAAUUAAAAGAAAAUUCAUUUUAUUAAAAAAAACGAAAAUGAACAGAGAGAAUAAGAAUUAUAAAGUAUUAUUGUCGACAUGGCGAUUGGCUGAUUGCCUAUGUACAGGUAUUACAGCGUAUAAUUAAAUCUCUUAUAAGUUUUAUCCAUAUUUUUGUAUAGUAAAUUUUAUAUUUAUUUGUAAAUUAAUCUACUAUUAUGCUACUCCACAUUUCUAUAAUAGUGUUCACUUUAAUCUCUACAAUUGGGACACAUCAGAUAUCAGUACAUGAAAUUUUUGAGAAUUCGACUGCAAGAUGAGAAAUGAAUGUUUGAGAGAUCUAAUUUUUAGAGAUUGAUGAGGACGAAUACAUAAAAUCUACCAAGUUAUUAUUACUAUAUAAUAAUAUUUCGUAUAAAGAUAUUCUACAGAUAUAUUCUCUGAUCGCUGAUAUAACGCUGCAGGUUUGAUAUUUACAACGAUUCUUUAGAAACUGAAUAUUGUUGGCCGAUAAACAAGUUAUUGACCCUUAACAUCCUGAUCAAUAUCCCAUAGUAUUAUCGUUCCAAUGAAAUUGUGGUUGUCAAGCUGUGAAAUUAUAUUCGUGAAAUUAUAUUUCGAUUCAUAUUAUUUUCAAUAAUAUUGUGAACAUGAUUCGAAAAUUUCAUCGAAAAUUUCAUCGAAAAUUUGCCCACUUUAUUGCUUCAACGAUACAACAAUUCAUCUACGGUAUCAUCUACAUUCAUUACACACAUAUUGUAUACACACAUUGCAUACGUUUAUAUGUUAUACUUCACUCUAUGAACUGACAUAUUGGGGAUACCCAAAAACCUUGUAUAUCAAUACAUAUUUGCAGAUAAUGUUUAUAAACGUGGCUUAAAGCAUCAUAGCACUAUAGAUGUAAGAAUAUUGAAAUAAAAGUUAAUUUAUUCACGAAA